rnacentral:misc_RNA from 1 species
GAAGCUAUAAUACUGCCGCAACCAUAGCAGAAUAGGCACUAUAAUAAAUAGGGAAAAACUCAAUUUACGAUGCUAAUAAUAAUUCUUUUUACUUGCAAAUAUUGCUGCAAAGAAUUUUCAUUGGGAAAACAAUUAUUAAAGCACAAACACAGCAGCAAGCAUCACUUAAUAUAUCACAUUUUUAAGUUAGGCAAAUUCUAAUCACCAUCUUGGAAUGACCUGCACA